rnacentral:rRNA from 1 species
CCUACGGGGGGCUGCAGUGAGGAAUAUUGGUCAAUGGGCGAGAGCCUGAACCAGCCAAGUCGCGUGAAGGAUGACGGCCCUACGGGUUGUAAACUUCUUUUGUCAGGGAGCAAUUGGUUCCACGCGUGGGCUUAGCGAUAGUACCUGAAGAAAAAGCAUCGGCUACCCCCGGGCCAGCAGCCGCGGUAUUACGUGGGGGGCAAGCGUUAUCCGGAUUUACUGGGUUUAAAGGGAGGGUAGACGGUUGGCCAAGUCUGGAGUAAAAUGCCGCAGCUUAACUGCGGAACUGCUUUGGAAACUGGCGAACUAGAGUGCGGGAGGGGUAAGCGGAAUGCCUAGUGUAGCGGUGAAAUGCGUAGAUAUUAGGAGGAACACCGGUGGCGAAGGCAGCUUACUGGACCGUAACUGACGUUGAGGCUCGAAAGCGUGGGGAGCAAACAGGAUUAGAUACCCUAGUAGUC